GCCUGCAGCCAUACCAACCUGAACACACCUGAUCUCGUCUGAUCCUGGAAACUAAGCAGGAUGGGCCUGGUUAGCACAUGGAUGGGAGACAGGAGGAUUAGAUGAAGGGCC
rnacentral:rRNA from 1 species